rnacentral:rRNA from 1 species
UACAGAGGGUGCGAGCGUUGUCCGGAAUCACUGGGCGUAAAGGGCGCGUAGGCGGUCCCCUAAGUGUGUGGUGAAAGCUCGGGGCUCAACCCCGAGUCGGCCGUGCAAACUGGGGGACUCGAGCACGUCAGAGGCAGGCGGAAUUCCGGGUGUAGCGGUGGAAUGCGUAGAGAUCCGGAAGAACACCGGUGGCGAAGGCGGCCUGCUGGGACGUGGCUGACGCUGAGGCGCGACAGCGUGGGGAGCAAACAGG